AUUUGUUGUGGGAACGUAUAAAUACAGGAACGAUGAUCAAGCGGAAUCAGACACCAGUAGCGCAUUGAAAAUACAGCAAAACAAAUUCUGAAAACACGGUCAAAUUAGUUGGAUAUAAUAUUUUCAUCAUUCUGUUCAAAUCAUCACUCGACUGAAAAAGCCGACAUAUUAACAUCGGAAUAUACAUAAUGCAGCAGACACUUUAUCUAGCCGUGUUCCUAGCUUUGUGUGCCUUUGCAAUGAGUCAGGGCCAGCUCCGUAUGAUGCCCUGGAGUCCUCUCCCGCCACCUAUGGUCCCUGGGAUCAAUCUGCCCCUGAUACAUAUUAGCCCCGCACCGUGGCAUCGAGGCGGUGCGUGGACAAGGGACAAUAUUUUCGGGAGCCCAUUGUUUCCAGGAGGAAUGGCCAGUGGUCAGAUGUGGCCAACAGGUCCGUUCUUGGGUCAGCAG